UCCCGGCUAGCUCAGUCGGUAGAGCGUCAGACUCUUAUCACAAGAGCCUCCAAGGUUGACCUUGGGAACAUCUGAAUGUCGAGGGUUCGAGCCCCUCGUUGGGAG